GACGAACGCUGGCGGCGUGCUUAACACAUGCAAGUCGAACGGAAAGGCCCUGCUUUUGUGGGGUGCUCGAGUGGCGAACGGGUGAGUAACACGUGAGUAACCUGCCCUUGACUUUGGGAUAACUUCAGGAAACUGGGGCUAAUACCGGAUAGGAGCUCCUGCUGCAUGGUGGGGGUUGGAAAGUUUCGGCGGUUGGGGAUGGACUCGCGGCUUAUCAGCUUGUUGGUGGGGUAGUGGCUUACUAAGGCUUUGACGGGUCGCCGGCCGGAGAGGGUGACCGGCCAGAGUGGGGGAAAGUUACGGCCGAGACUCCUGCGGGAGGCAGCAGGGGGGAGUAUUGCACAAUGGGCUGAGGCCUGAAGCAGCCACCCCGCGGGCGCGAUGCGGGCCUUCGGGUUGUAAACCGCUUGCCCCUGUCACGAAGCGUGAGUGACGUUACUGGGUAAAGAAGAACCGCCUAACUCCGCG
rnacentral:rRNA from 1 species